rnacentral:misc_RNA from 1 species
UGCAAAAAAUAAUGGCAACAUGCUGAGGGAAAAUGAUGCAAGGGCAUCUGAAUUGCAUUAUAAUGCUUAUUAUCUUAGUAAGAAGAAGGCUGUCAAAGAGUUAUUAAAAACUGUUUUUCUCUCUCAGGACUCUGGAUCAUCAUAACUAACAACUCAGUACUAAUCUCAUGAGCCAAUUAGGAUGAACUAGGAGGUAGCAGUAGCACAACCCAAAAGUGAAAAGGUUCAAAGUUGUUGCAUAGACUAUAAUCUUUUGCAUACAGGAACUCAAUUCCAUACAAGUCCAAUACUACAAUUAGUUUGUUCACAAUAACAUGAGAUCAAAAGAUGGAUGAAUCUUCUAAUUAUCACAACAUUAAUGACAUCACAUAUGUGAUAUAUUCCUAUUAAAUUUUCCUGUAUGCGGUCCAAAAUCAUACUUUACUGGGCUAGUCCAAAUUCUCCAAUAAUUUUUACCAGCCAAUUACAUAAAAACUACUUUGGUGUCAAAACCCUACGAACACUUUCAAUCUCAAAUAUCCAAAUAAACAGCCAUCACAGCAAACGCCUACUGUUCUUUACUCAUUAAAAAGUGACCAACCAAUAUUAAUUCCAUAUUAUCAGCAUACUAACUGCAAAU